GACAGAGGGUGCAAACGUUGUUCGGAAUUAUUGGGCGUAAAGGGCGCGUAGGCGGUGCGGUAAGUCACCUGUGAAAUCUCCUGGCUCAACUGGGAGCUUGCAGGCGAAACUGCCGUGCUGGAGUGUGGGAGAGGUGAGUGGAAUUCCCGGUGUAGCGGUGAAAUGCGUAGAUAUCGAGAGGAACACCGGUGGCGAAGGCGGCCUUCUGGACAGCGACUGACGCUGAGACGCGAAAGCGUGGGGAGCAAACAGG
rnacentral:rRNA from 1 species